AGUGAACGCUGGCGGUAGGCCUAACACAUGCAAGUCGAACGGCAGCACAGUAAGAGCUUGCUCUUACGGGUGGCGAGUGGCGGACGGGUGAGGAAUACAUCGGAAUCUACUUUUUCGUGGGGGAUAACGUAGGGAAACUUACGCUAAUACCGCAUACGACCUACGGGUGAAAGCAGGGGAUCUUCGGACCUUGCGCGAUUGAAUGAGCCGAUGUCGGAUUAGCUAGUUGGCGGGGUAAAGGCCCACCAAGGCGGCGAUCCGUAGCUGGUCUGAGAGGAUGAUCAGCCACACUGGAAGUGAGACACGGUCCAGACUCCUACGGGAGGCAGCAGUGGGGAAUAUUGGACAAUGGGCGCAAGCCUGAUCCAGCCAUACCGCGUGGGUGAAGAAGGCCUUCGGGUUGUAAAGCCCUUUUGUUGGGAAAGAAAAGCAGCAGGUUAAUACCCCGCUGUUCUGACGGUACCCAAAGAAUAAGCACCGGCUAACUUCGUG
rnacentral:rRNA from 1 species